GAUGAACGCUGGCGGCGUGCCUAAUACAUGCAAGUCGAGCGAACGGACGAGAAGCUUGCUUCUCUGAUGUUAGCGGCGGACGGGUGAGUAACACGUGGAUAACCUACCUAUAAGACUGGGAUAACUUCGGGAAACCGGAGCUAAUACCGGAUAAUAUUUUGAACCGCAUGGUUCAAAAGUGAAAGACGGUCUUGCUGUCACUUAUAGAUGGAUCCGCGCUGCAUUAGCUAGUUGGUAAGGUAACGGCUUACCAAGGCAACGAUGCAUAGCCGACCUGAGAGGGUGAUCGGCCACACUGGAACUGAGACACGGUCCAGACUCCUACGGGAGGCAGCAGUAGGGAAUCUUCCGCAAUGGGCGAAAGCCUGACGGAGCAACGCCGCGUGAGUGAUGAAGGUCUUCGGAUCGUAAAACUCUGUUAUUAGGGAAGAACAUAUGUGUAAGUAACUGUGCACAUCUUGACGGUACCUAAUCAGAAAGCCACGGCUAACUACGUGCCAGCAGCCGCGGUAAUACGUAGGUGGCAAGCGUUAUCCGGAAUUAUUGGGCGUAAAGCGCGCGUAGGCGGUUUUUUAAGUCUGAUGUGAAAGCCCACGGCUCAACCGUGGAGGGUCAUUGGAAACUGGAAAACUUGAGUGCAGAAGAGGAAAGUGGAAUUCCAUGUGUAGCGGUGAAAUGCGCAGAGAUAUGGAGGAACACCAGUGGCGAAGGCGACUUUCUGGUCUGUAACUGACGCUGAUGUGCGAAAGCGUGGGGAUCAAACAGGGUUAGAUACCCUGGUAGUCCACGCCGUAAACGAUGAGUGCUAAGUGUUAGGGGGUUUCCGCCCCUUAGUGCUGCAGCUAGCGCAUUAAGCACUCCGCCUGGGGAGUACGACCGCAAGGUUGAAACUCAAAGGAAUUGACGGGGACCCGCACAAGCGGUGGAGCAUGUGGUUUAAUUCGAAGCAACGCGAAGAACCUUACCAAAUCUUGACAUCCUUUGACAACUCUAGAGAUAGAGCCUUCCCCUUCGGGGGACAAAGUGACAGGUGGUGCAUGGUUGUCGUCAGCUCGUGUCGUGAGAUGUUGGGUUAAGUCCCGCAACGAGCGCAACCCUUAAGCUUAGUUGCCAUCAUUAAGUUGGGCACUCUAAGUUGACUGCCGGUGACAAACCGGAGGAAGGUGGGGAUGACGUCAAAUCAUCAUGCCCCUUAUGAUUUGGGCUACACACGUGCUACAAUGGACAAUACAAAGGGCAGCGAAACCGCGAGGUCAAGCAAAUCCCAUAAAGUUGUUCUCAGUUCGGAUUGUAGUCUGCAACUCGACUACAUGAAGCUGGAAUCGCUAGUAAUCGUAGAUCAGCAUGCUACGGUGAAUACGUUCCCGGGUCU
rnacentral:rRNA from 1 species